rfam:[Oscillatoria] sp. PCC 6506, WGS project CACA01000000 data, contig: Contig382
AGAGUAGGCGCAGGCGGUUGCGGACUCCAAAGAGUCUGAGGAAAGUCCGGGCUCCCGAAAGCCCAAACUUGCUGGAUAACGCCCAGUGCGAGCGAUCGCGAGGAUAGUGCCACAGAAAUAUACCGCCUACAUUAGGAGCCUAAAGUGUUAAAUUUUAGACUCAAAACUGUAGGUAAGGGUGCAAAGGUGCGGUAAGAGCGCACCAGCAGCGUCGAGAGGCGCUGGCUAGGUAAACCCCAGUUGGGAGCAAGGUCGGAGGAACUACGGUUGGUCUUUUACCAGUUCCGCUUGAAUGCACCGCUAGAGGCAUCUGGUAACAGGUGUCCCAGAUAGAUAACUGCCCUCUUAGCUGCUUGCAGUUAAGGGAACAGAACCCGGCUUAUGUCCGACUCUUUCC